GAUCAAUUGGCUAGAAUGUAUCUUAUGGGUUGGCGAUAUCAGCCGAAGAAGGACGCGGUAAGCUGCGAUAAGCUACGGAGAGGUGCAAGCAACCUUUGACCCGUAGAUUUCCGAAUGGGGGAACCCGG
rnacentral:rRNA from 1 species